UAUUGAAACACCGGUUCCCGUACAGUUAAGCAACGUCGAGCCUGGCCAGUACUUAGAUGGGUGACCGCUUAGGAAUACCAGGUGU